rnacentral:rRNA from 1 species
UACGUAGGGUGCGAGCGUUAAUCGGAAUUACUGGGCGUAAAGCGUGCGCAGGCGGUUUUGUAAGCCAGAUGUGAAAGCCCCGGGCUUAACCUGGGAAUGGCAUUUGGGACUGCAAGGCUGGAGUGUGGCAGAGGAGACUGGAAUUCCUGGUGUAGCAGUGAAAUGCGUAGAUAUCAGGAGGAAUACCGAUGGCGAAGGCAGGUCUGUGGGCUGACACUGACGCUCAUGCACGAAAGCGUGGGGAGCAAACAGG